rnacentral:lncRNA from 1 species
UCUUUUAAUAGGGAGGGAUUCUAUCUCAGAUAAUGUUCAAUGGUCUGUUGGUAAUGGUCAGAAGAUUAAUAUUAGAGAGGACAAAUGGCUAUCUAGUGGUGUUAUAGGAGGCCCUGCACCUAGUGUCACGCCCCAAACCCCGAGCGCACGCACAUCCCACUACGGUCGAUCAAAAAUGCGACAUCCCAGGAUAUGUCGCCGACCCAUUCAUGUCUCUACGCAUGCGGAAGCGAAACAAAUCCCCUGACAACAUUUAACUUGGGAUAGAAAAGCAGGCAAUCAAUCACAAUACCAAACACUCAUUUACAAACACAAAGGGUUUAAAUACAACACUGGACUUUCUACAAAAUAGACCAGCUCGACAAAAGGGGAACUAUUCUACAACCAACUAGCAGGACACGCUCUCCAACCCUUAUGACUUCACGUCUGCAACUCCUCAAAGCCAACCAAAGCUAUCUGGCCACUCUGUCCACCGGGGACCUGAAAUUUUAAUCCCACAACCGAGAUGAGACGAUGUCUCAGCAAGUUCAACCCCCUAAACCCCUAUUAGAAAGAAAAUACGCCCCGGGUGGCCUAGCCACAUCACACAGAAGACUUACCUCGUCUUAGCCUUCAUCUGCAGGUUAGCACAAUUUAUGUAAUUCAACCACGUACAAUUAUGAUAACCAAACAACCAUGGCACAAUCACAUUGUCAAACAAUUCAACCACUUGGAUCGUCUCAGCGAUCAAUCGACUUGGCCGAUUACAUGUCAUUCUAGCAAAUUAAUCAUUGCUCUCAACUACGGCCCUACUCGGCAAAUUUGAAUCAGUGGCAUCACGGCCCCACUCGGCGCGACCUUUAUCAGGUGGCAAUUCACGGCCCCAUUGGGCGCGACCUUUAUCAGGUGGCAUAUCACGGCCCCACUGGGCGCGACCUCUAGUAGGUGGCAUAUCACGGCCCCACUGGGCGCGACCUCUAGUAGGUGGCAUAUCACGGCCUCAUCGGGCACGACCUCUAGUAGGUGGUAUAUCACGGCCUCAUCGGGCACGACCUCUACUAGGUGGUAUUUCACGGCCUCAUCGGGCACGACCUCUAAUAGGUGGUAUUUCACGGCCUCAUCGGGCACGACCUCUAAUAGGUGGUUUAUCACGGCCAAUCUCCCAUCAAUUUCUACACUUAGGAUUUUAUAAAGAAUCCUCAUAAAUCGAAAUCACAUUCAAUUCGCCACAACCAAUCAUCAAUUUCAAAUUCUACAAGCAUAGCAACGAUCGGCACGAAAUUCUGAGCAAAUAAGGUCCCAAUGAAAAUUUUCGGAAUUUAAUAGAUAAUUAAAUUUAUUCCGAAAAUUAAUUAAAUAAUAAUAUCCAUAGUUUUCGAAAUCCACACUCAAUUUAUAAUAUCCAAUCAUCAAUUUCAAAAUCCGACUACACAGCAACGACCGGCACGAAAUUCUGAGAAUUUAAGGUCUCGACAAAAUUUUCGGAAUUUAAUAAAUAAUUUAAUUUAUUCCGAAAAUAAUUAAAUAAUAAUAUUUUAUUAAUUUCGAAUAAAAUAUAUUAUUAAAUUAUAUAAUAAUUUCGAGACAUUUAAAUAAAUCAAAAGUAAAAUUCAUUUAUGUCAAAUCAAGGCUUAUUUUAAAUAAACCUACUUACCCUUAAUUAAGCACACUUUAAAUUAAACCACAACCUUAAUCAAAUCUACUCUUAAUUAACCUAAACUAACAACCUAAUAAUGCUUAACAUAAACUAAACCUCCCUAAGCAUAAUUAACCCUCUAAGCGAGGUUUAGUGAGCUAAACUCACCGGAUUAGCGAGCCGAGCGGACCAAAACGACGGGGACGCCGAGGAGAACAACUUUCCUCAAAGCGGGCCGAGCAUCCGGGCUCGGGAAGUCGGCCAAAACGGGCCAAACAUCGGCUGCCAUACCCAUUUUCUGGGUUGCUGAUCGGGGCCGAGAGGGAGCAGAUCCGGCGCCGGUUCGGGCGGCCAAGGGCGGCGGAGGCAAGGCGAAGCUCCGGCGGGCUAAGGCGGGGGCGCACGACGGCUCACGGUGGCUGAUCCGCGACCUAGGCUGGUCGGACAGCCUCCCAAACGUGAAGACGAGCGAGGACGACGGCGAACGAGGGAAGAGCAACGGCGUGAGCGGGCGAAGGAGAACCGGCGACGAGCUGGCUUCGGCGGCUUCGGCGGUUCCGGCGACGGGCGACGAGCGGCGAAGGAGGCGAACGACGAGGGGCUGCUUCGGCUUCUUCCUCUGCAAAUUUUCUGGUCUUUCGCACAAGGAGAUGGAGGAGAAGCCAACGGAAGGGAGAGAGGAAGGAGAGAGAAGGAGGAGAGAGAGAGAUGGGACCAUUCCCUUUUCUUUUUUCUUUUUCUUUAAUCCCACAAAAUGGCCCACCAUGACAUCAUCCAUGAUGUCAUACUCCACUCACUCAAAACUCCCACAACCUUAUUCCAAUGGGUUCAAUUCCAUUUUCCGCCGGGAUCCAAUUCUUGUACAUUCACUUUCUUCAAUUCUCAUCAAUUCUCUUCCAAUUGAACUAAAUUGAAGUCCAUAAAAUUAAUCCAAUGUCACCACACUUCAAUUCACAUCUUCACUUGUCCAUAGAACCAACUUAAGUCCCAAAAGUACGACCAAAAGCGGGCCUACUAAUUUCUCGAGCCAAAUUAGCCAUUUUCUGAUUUACUUGCUGAAAAUUCUGAUUACAUGAAAAAUCUUCCUAAGAUGAUUCAAUGAUCCUGAAAUGAUUUGUGACACAUCCAGACUUCCAAUUUCUGAAUUCGAUCUCAAUUCCACGGUUAAUUUCACUUUGGCACGAUACUAGCGCGGCCCAACCUACCGGGUAGCCUUUAGAGAUUUUUAUGCAUUUGACCUGUGGUUGAUCAUCUCAAGCCACAAUGUACAUCUUUGAAACAUUGGCGACUUUCGGUUGUCGAGGUAAUCUCAAGGUUUCAAAUACGAACACAGGGUACCCAAUCGAUAGAAAAGUCGGUCCAGUGCCAAUCGACAAAAAUUGUGCGAUCUGGUGGAAUCACCCACACCUGAUCACAUGCCUCUGUCGAGUCAACCUAUCUCUAAUCUUUAAUCGAUUUUAAUUGUGCCGUAAUGACCCUUGCAGACUAGCUCGGUCGAAAGGUCGCUUCCUGGUCAAAUUCUCGAGUCUGAUGCAUUAGAAACUCUUAACAGCUUCACCCGAUAGACUAGUUUCCACAUGAGUGGCCAACUCCAGGAAAAGAACUAUAUACGUGCCAACAAAAUGCCCGUCUCAAUUUAUUGAAAAUAGAAUCGGAAAAUCGGGAUGUCACACCUAGAGGAGAAGCGACAAAGGUAGCUGAUUUUAUUCUACCAACUCAGGCUGCAUGGAAUGAAUCCCUCCUUCGACAAAGUUUUGAUCCUCAGCUAGUAAGUGAAAUUCUGUCUUUGCCAAUUAGACCUUCC